rnacentral:lncRNA from 1 species
UCAUGUUCGCCUCGUUUAAUAAACGAGCCGAACAUGAGCUAGCUUGUUAAAGUAUCGAGCCGAAAAAUUUAGCUCGUGUUCAGCUCGCUGGCCAACGAACAAUAAGUUAAAAGGAUUAGAUUGAAUAUAUAUAAAAAAUAAAUUUAUAAAAUCUUAUCCAUUAGACUUUGAUCUAAUAGUUGAAAUUUUACAUAUAAAUGAAUCUUUUUAUAAUUAAGCUUGUAUUUAUAUUUUUAUUUUGCUAAAAAUUAAAUAAUAAAAAUAUAUAUUAUAUAUAUAAUUAUUUAUUUAUAUAUAUAAAUAUAAAUUAAAUAAAUUAUAUAAAUAUAAAAUAUAUGUAUUCGAGUUGUUUUUGAGCCGAACACGAGCGAGCUAACCCCAGCUUGUGUUCGACUCGUUUAAUAAACGAAUCGAAAAAUUCAGCUCGUGUUCAGCUCGUUUACUAAAUGAACGAUUCGAUUUCAAGCUCAUUUCGAGCCGAACACGAGCUGGCUCGCGAACAGCAAGCUAAAUUGCCACCCCUAACCCAAAGUAAAUCUUAACACAUUG